GACGAACGCUGGCGGCGUGCCUAAUACAUGCAAGUAGAACGCUGAAGAGAGGAGCUUGCUCUUCUUGGAUGAGUUGCGAACGGGUGAGUAACGCGUAGGUAACCUGCCUUGUAGCGGGGGAUAACUAUUGGAAACGAUAGCUAAUACCGCAUAACAAUGGAUGACCCAUGUCAUUUAUUUGAAAGGGGCAAAUGCUCCACUACAAGAUGGACCUGCGUUGUAUUAGCUAGUAGGUGAGGUAACGGCUCACCUAGGCGACGAUACAUAGCCGACCUGAGAGGGUGAUCGGCCACACUGGGACUGAGACACGGCCCAGACUCCUACGGGAGGCAGCAGUAGGGAAUCUUCGGCAAUGGGGGCAACCCUGACCGAGCAACGCCGCGUGAGUGAAGAAGGUUUUCGGAUCGUAAAGCUCUGUUGUAAGUCAAGAACGAGUGUGAGAGUGGAAAGUUCACACUGUGACGGUAGCUUACCAGAAAGGGACGGCUAACUACGUGCCAGCAGCCGCGGUAAUACGUAGGUCCCGAGCGUUGUCCGGAUUUAUUGGGCGUAAAGCGAGCGCAGGCGGUUUGAUAAGUCUGAAGUUAAAGGCUGUGGCUCAACCAUAGUUCGCUUUGGAAACUGUCAAACUUGAGUGCAGAAGGGGAGAGUGGAAUUCCAUGUGUAGCGGUGAAAUGCGUAGAUAUAUGGAGGAACACCGGUGGCGAAAGCGGCUCUCUGGUCUGUAACUGACGCUGAGGCUCGAAAGCGUGGGGAGCGAACAGGAUUAGAUACCCUGGUAGUCCACGCCGUAAACGAUGAGUGCUAGGUGUUGGAUCCUUUCCGGGAUUCAGUGCCGCAGCUAACGCAUUAAGCACUCCGCCUGGGGAGUACGACCGCGAGGUUGAAACUCAAAGGAAUUGACGGGGGCCCGCACAAGCGGUGGAGCAUGUGGUUUAAUUCGAAGCAACGCGAAGAACCUUACCAGGUCUUGACAUCCCGAUGCUAUUUCUAGAGAUAGAAAGUUACUUCGGUACAUCGGUGACAGGUGGUGCAUGGUUGUCGUCAGCUCGUGUCGUGAGAUGUUGGGUUAAGUCCCGCAACGAGCGCAACCCCUAUUGUUAGUUGCCAUCAUUCAGUUGGGCACUCUAGCGAGACUGCCGGUAAUAAACCGGAGGAAGGUGGGGAUGACGUCAAAUCAUCAUGCCCCUUAUGACCUGGGCUACACACGUGCUACAAUGGUUGGUACAACGAGUUGCGAGUCGGUGACGGCAAGCUAAUCUCUUAAAGCCAAUCUCAGUUCGGAUUGUAGGCUGCAACUCGCCUACAUGAAGUCGGAAUCGCUAGUAAUCGCGGAUCAGCACGCCGCGGUGAAUACGUUCCCGGGCCU
rnacentral:rRNA from 1 species